rnacentral:rRNA from 1 species
GACGAACGCUGGCGGCGUGCUUAACACAUGCAAGUCGAACGGAAAGGCCCUGCUUUUGUGGGGUGCUCGAGUGGCGAACGGGUGAGUAACACGUGAGUAACCUGCCCUUGACUUUGGGAUAACUUCAGGAAACUGGGGCUAAUACCGGAUAGGAGCUCCUGCUGCAUGGUGGGGGUUGGAAAGUUUCGGCGGUUGGGGAUGGACUCGCGGCUUAUCAGCUUGUUGGUGGGGUAGUGGCUUACCAAGGCUUUGACGGGUAGCCGGCCUGAGGGGGUGACCGGCCACAUUGGGACUGAGAUACGGCCCAGACUCCUACGGGAGGCAGCAGUGGGGAAUAUUGCACAACGGGCGGAAGCCUGAUGCAGCAACGCCGCGUGCGGGAUGACGGCCUUCGGGUUGUAAACCGCUUUCGCCUGUGACGAAGCGUGAGUGACGGUAAUGGGUAAAGAAGCACCGGCUAACUACGUGCCAGUAGCCGCGGUGAUACGUAGGGUGCGAGCGUUGUCCGGAUUUAUUGGGCGUAAAGGGCUCGUAGGUGGUUGAUCGCGUCGGAAGUGUAAUCUUGGGGCUUAACCCUGAGCGUGCUUUCGAUACGGGUUGACUUGAGGAAGGUAGGGGAGAAUGGAAUUCCUGGUGGAGCGGUGGAAUGCGCAGAUAUCAGGAGGAACACCAGUGGCGAAGGCGGUUCUCUGGGCCUUUCCUGACGCUGAGGAGCGAAAGCGUGGGGAGCGAACAGGCUUAGAUACCCUGGUAGUCCACGCUGUAAACGGUGGGUACUAGGUGUGGGGUCCAUUCCACGGGUUCCGUGCCGUAGCUAACGCUUUAAGUACCCCGCCUGGGGAGUACGGCCGCAAGGCUAAAACUCAAAGGAAUUGACGGGGCCCCGCACAAGCGGCGGAGCAUGCGGAUUAAUUCGAUGCAACGCGUAGAACCUUACCUGGGUUUGACAUGGAUCGGGAGUGCUCAGAGAUGGGUGUGCCUCUUUUGGGGUCGGUUCACAGGUGGUGCAUGGCUGUCGUCAGCUCGUGUCGUGAGAUGUUGGGUUAAGUCCCGCAACGAGCGCAACCCUUGUUCACUGUUGCCAGCACGUUAUGGUGGGGACUCAGUGGAGACCGCCGGGGUCAACUCGGAGGAAGGUGGGGAUGACGUCAAGUCAUCAUGCCCCUUAUGUCCAGGGCUUCACGCAUGCUACAAUGGCUGGUACAGAGAGUGGCGAGCCUGUGAGGGUGAGCGAAUCUCGGAAAGCCGGUCUCAGUUCGGAUUGGGGUCUGCAACUCGACCUCAUGAAGUCGGAGUCGCUAGUAAUCGCAGAUCAGCAACGCUGCGGUGAAUACGUUCCCGGGGCU